AUUUAUUCUCUCACUCAUAUCUUUUCUCUUUAACUCAUAUCUCUCUCUUACAGUCAUCUCUCUCCUGGCUCAUCUCUAUCCGCUCUUAUCUUUCUAUGUUGUUCUCUCUUCGCCCAUCUCAACUUAGAGGACACUAUGUGCCUCAACUUGCAGAGCUUAUACUUUAUCUUCGUUUGGUUGGAGUUUUGUUUCGAUUGGAGCUUGGAGGUUUCGAUUUAAUUGGAGAUCUAAGUUCAACUCCCAAGAAUUUUGCUCUAAAGAUAGUUUUGGUCUAUCCAUUAUUUUCCGCACUUCUGAACUAGCAACUGCAAUACUGAUAGACUUGAUAUCGCAAGAAGGCUAAAGAGUUCAAC